AUGGCGCGUCAGCCGCCACACAAGGACGAAAUGCCCUACCACUUCGACUCGCAAGGCAUCGGCAUCAAAGCCACCGUCACCGUACGAGCAGCCACGGUGGAGGCGCGGAUAUCGCGCGUGUGGACAAACUUCCUCCGGGACGCCGACGAGAAGCUUGUCGGCCUAGACACCGAGUUCACCAACCCCGUCUUCGGGAAGAGGCAGAAGGACCUGCCCAAUGAACAGAAGCAACGCGCCGCCGUGCUCCAGCUCUGCGUCGCCGACGAGUGCCUGGUGUACCACAUCGUGCACGCGAGGCACGUACCGGCAAUGCUGAGGAGGUUUCUCGCCGACAAGGACAUCGUCUUCUGUGGAGCCGGGAUCAGCCAGGACCAGGAGAUGCUGGCCUACUACGGGCUCAACAUCGCGUCUUCCUUCGACCUGCAGCAGCGUGUCGAGAUUCCAAAGAACGUCUGCAGCAAGCCUACACCGUCGUUGAUUGAUUUGGCAAACUACCUGCUGGGAACGAAGCUCAGCAAGGACGGGGAGUGCGAGAAGUUAAGGAGGUCGGGAUGGGCUGUGUUCCCGUUGACCCUUGAACGGAUCAGAUAUGCCGCGGUUGACGCUCGGCUCAGCUUCGAGGUCGCUAGGAGGCACUUCCGAUCUGCUUGCUACGAUCGCCCUGGCGACCGCUUCAAUUUAGCGUGA
rnacentral:rRNA from 1 species